rnacentral:rRNA from 1 species
GAAUAAAAGGAUCUCCGAUAGGUGACCUGCGGAGGGAUCAUU